rnacentral:rRNA from 1 species
AACCUUACCUGGGCUUAAAUGUAGGUUGACAGGUUUAGAGAUAGACUUUUCUUCGGACAAUUUACAAGGUGCUGCAUGGUUGUCGUCAGCUCGUGCCGUGAGGUGUCGGGUUAAGUCCCAUAACGAGCGCAACCCCUAUUGUUAGUUGCCAUCAGGUCAAGCUGGGAACUCUAACGAGACUGCCACCGUAAGGUGCGAGGAAGGUGGGGAUGACGUCAAAUCAGCACGGCCCUUAUGUCCAGGGCUACACACGUGUUACAAUGGCCAGUACAAAGGGCAGCUACUUGGUGACAAGAUGCUAAUCUCGAAAGCUGGUCUCAGUUCGGAUCGAAGUCUGCAACCCGACUUCGUGAAGCUGGAUUCGCUAGUAAUCGCGCAUCAGCCAUGGCGCGGUGAAUACGUUCCCGGGCCUUGUACACACCGCCCGUCAAACCAUGGAAGUUGGGGGUACCUGAAGUCUGUUACCGCGAGGAGCGGCCUAGGGUAAAACCAGUAACUGG